rnacentral:rRNA from 1 species
AUUGAACGCUGGCGGCAGGCUUAACACAUGCAAGUCGAGCGAGCGGCGGACGGGUGAGUAAUGUCUGGGCAACUGCCUGAUGGAGGGGGAUAACUACUGGAAACGGUAGCUAAUACCGCAUACCAUCAGAUGUGCCCAGAUUGGAUUAGCUAGUCGGUGGGGUAUUGGCUCACCUAGGCGACGAUCCCUAGCUGGUCUGAGAGGAUGACCAGCCACACUGGAACUGAGACACGGUCCAGACUCCUACGGGAGGCAGCAGUGGGGAAUAUUGCACAAUGGGCGAAAGCCUGAUGCAGCCAUGCCGCGUGUGUGAAGAAGGCCUUCGGGUUGUAAAGCACUUUCAGCGGGGAGGCGUUACUCGCCGAAGAAGCACCGGCUAACUACGUGCCAGCCGCCGCGGUAAUAC